GAUCUCUCAUCAGUUAGCUAGCUCCAUCGUGCACAGGUUUGAGUGUUUGAGUUUUUCCUAGUGGCAUUCAACCUUUGAACGGUAGAGAUGGCCAACUGAAAAGCGACCUAAACU
rnacentral:pre_miRNA from 1 species